GAAAGCGUCGGGCAGGAACUCGCCCAGGCCGACUCCGAGUCCGCCGUCGGGGCCGACGGGGUCCCGGCCCGCGCCGUUCUGGACCGGCUCGCUCCCG
rnacentral:tRNA from 1 species